rnacentral:rRNA from 1 species
GGAUUAGAUACCCUGGUAGUCCACGCUGUAAACGAUGGAUGCUAGCUGUUAGGAGUAUCGACCCUCCUAGUAGCGUAGCUAACGCGUUAAGCAUCCCGCCUGUGGAGUACGGUCGCAAGACUAAAACAUAAAGGAAUUGACGGGGACCCGCACAAGCGGUGGAGCGUGUUGUUUAAUUCGAUGGUAAGCGAAGAACCUUACCCAGGCUUGACAUCCCACUAAGGACUCCGAAAGGAGACUGUGCCUUCGGGCCGUGGUGACAGGUGUUGCAUGGCCGUCGUCAGCUCGUGCCG